AGUACGCUGGCGGUAGGCCUAUUACAUGCAGUCGAACGGCAGCACAGGAGAGCUUGCUCUCUGGGUGGCGAGUGGCGGACGGGUGAGGAAUACAUCGGAAUCUACUUUUUCGUGGGGGAUAACGUAGGGAAACUUACGCUAAUACCGCAUACGACCUACGGGUGAAAGCAGGGGACCUUCGGGCCUUGCGCGAUUGAAUGAGCCGAUGUCGGAUUAGCUAGUUGGCGGGGUAAAGGCCCACCAAGGCGACGAUCCGUAGCUGGUCUGAGAGGAUGAUCAGCCACACUGGAACUGAGACACGGUCCAGACUCCUACGGGAGGCAGCAGUGGGGAAUAUUGGACAAUGGGCGCAAGCCUGAUCCAGCCAUACCGCGUGGGUGAAGAAGGCCUUCGGGUUGUAAAGCCCUUUUGUUGGGAAAGAAAUCCAGCUGGCUAAUACCCGGUUGGGAUGACGGUACCCAAAGAAUAAGCACCGGCUAACUUCGUGCCAGCAGCCGCGGUAAUACGAAGGGUGCAAGCGUUACUCGGAAUUACUGGGCGUAAAGCGUGCGUAGGUGGUCGUUUAAGUCCGUUGUGAAAGCCCUGGGCUCAACCUGGGAACUGCAGUGGAUACUGGGCGACUAGAAGUGUGGUAGAGGGUAGCGGAAUUCCCUGGUGUAGCAGUGAAAUGCGUAGAGAUCAGAGGAACAUCCAUGGCGAAGCAGCUACCUGGACCAACACUGACACUGAGGCACGAAAGCG
rnacentral:rRNA from 1 species